rnacentral:rRNA from 1 species
UACGGAGGGUGCGAGCGUUGUCCGGAAUCACUGGGCGUAAAGGGCGCGUAGGUGGCUCGUGAAGCGUGCGGUGAAAGUCCGAGGCUCAACCUCGGAUCGGCCGUGCGGACUCGCGGGCUCGAGCGUUGUAGAGGCGGGUGGAAUUCCGGGUGUAGCGGUGGAAUGCGUAGAGAUCCGGAAGAACACCGGUGGCGAAGGCGGCCUGCUGGGCUAUGGCUGACACUGAGGCGCGACAGCGUGGGGAGCAAACAGG